rnacentral:snRNA from 1 species
GGAUGUAGGGGAUAUUCCACUGUGGCAUCAGUGACCCCCUGGAUUGCCAGGGUUGGUUGGCUGGGCAGGUGUCCCCUCUCUCCCCUGCUGCUCUGUGCAUGCUACCUCUUGACUGCGGGAGGCACAAUCUUCAGUCAAGGUUGAGAGAGGAGCUGUGUUCCCUGCUAGAAGCUCGUCACCUCCCCGGGCCCCUGUUUCCUUAUCUAUAAAACAGGAAAAUUAGGCAGAUGCUCU